GUCUCUGUGGCGCAAUGGAUUAGCGCGAUGGACUUCUAAUCCAGAGGUUCCGGGUUCGAGUCCCGGCAGGGAUG
rnacentral:tRNA from 1 species